UUUUUACACAUGUAGGUUGGUUGCUCAAGAGUUAUUUUUAUCAUAUGUUUUAAAAGUUGUAAUUAAUUGAAAGAAACAGAUGAGCACCGUUGCAGUGCUUGGAGGGGGCAUUGCCGGGCUGUCUUCUGCCUACUUUCUCUCAAGACUGCCACUGACAAAUAUCUCCAAGAUUGUUGUCAUUGAGGGGAGCAAUCGCCUGGGAGGAUGGAUUCAGUCAGAGAGGCUGCAGGAUGGCACGGUUUUUGAGGGAGGACCGCGGAGCUUCCGCUUUGGGGGGAAAGUGGAGGCCAAAACUCUAGAACUUAUAGAAAUGCUGGGUCUUCAAAAUGAUGUACUUAAAGUACCAAGAGAGAAAAUGGUACGAAGACUCUAUUAUGGAGGAAAAUUGAAGGUUUUCCCUACAGAUUUUGAUAAGUGGACUCUUGCAACCACUACCUUUAAAGGCGUGAUGAAAGAUCGAUGGAUGUUAACAAGAAAGGAAGAUGAGUCGGUGAAAUCCUUUAUUGAGAAACGCUUUGGAAGCAGUCCUGAGAUUAUGGCGUUUGUAGAAUCCAUGUUUCGAGGAAUAUAUGCCAGCAGCUAUGAUAACAUCAGCCAUAAGUUCUCAAUGUUAGGAAAAUCAGAAAGUAAAUCCUUGAUCCAUCUCACCCAGAAAAUGGCUGAGGCUAAGAAAGAGCUGUUGAACUCGGAUUCCGAGUUGGUGCGGCAAGCCGCUAAGGAGAAUUGGGAAAUUUAUGGGUUGAGAAAGGGGACAGGGCAAAUUGUUGAUGGUCUGGUGGAAGCCUUAGAGCAAAACAGCAAAGUGGAGAUCUUGACAAACACACCGAUUGAUUCUAUGGAUUUGAACUCGUCACUUGCUACUGUGGGAUUUUUCAUAUCAUUUAAUUAAUGUACUUUCUGACGUUCUAAUUCAGAUAUCAUUAUUAAAUUAGUGUUUCCAUUUUAAGCCAGAUUUUACCAGAUUUUUUUUUUUUAUGUAUUGAUUACUUUAUUUGUAUAGUUACGAAGUAAAGAAAAAGAAAUAGUUCAAGCAGACCAUGUAAUGAGCACAGUGCUCUCAAAAAAUCUGUCCUCCAUUCUCCCUGCCCAGCACCAGGAGUUAGGCGGGUUCCUGAGUAGCAUACCCACGGUCUCGGUAGUGGUGGUUAACUUGGUUUAUGACCAGGACUUGGAGGAAGUUCCACAGGGAUUUGGGCACCUGCUUCCUUCUUCAGAGGACCCCCCAAUACUUGGGGUGGUGUAUGACUCAAGGGUCUUUCCAGAGCAAGGUCCUGUAAACACCACACGCUUGACGGUGAUGUUAGGAGGUGCCUGGAUGAAGGAACUAGUGGAGAGAGUAGGCAGCUUAAACGACGAGUCUGUGCUAAAUCUAACAAAGGAAACCCUACACAAACAAAUGAACAUUACAGCCUCACCUGUCCAUACCAAAGUUCAUUAUCAAAUGGACUGUAUACCCCAGCAUACUGUGGGACACAGUCAGUUGCUGAAGCACAUCUACUCCUACAUCGACGAACACCAGCUUCCACUGAGGCUGGGGGGCUGUUCCUACAGAGAAAUCGGGGUCACUGGUAUUAUAUGUGACUCACUGAAAGAAGCACUCUCUCUACACCAUCAGAUAGAAAACAAAAGAUGAGGGCAAAAUUCAUGACCGGUGUAGAAAUUAAAAUUUGAGAAGUGUGUUCAUGCUUUAAGUUGCAGACUUGAAGUUACUGUUGCAGAACAUCAAUUUUGUCAGAUGGUGCAUUCUCUAAUAGUUUGCAGUGAUUGUUGGAUUAAAAUCACGAAUUUCAUGAUUUUAAUGAAUUCAUUAUUUGAAUUUUAAUUAAUAAAAAGGGUAAAAUAUU
rnacentral:misc_RNA from 1 species